CACGUAGGGGACGAGCGUUGUCCGGAAUCAUUGGGCGUAAAGCGCGCGUAGGCGGCCCGGAAAGUCGGAUGUGAAAUCCCGGGGCUCAACCCCGGGCCUGCAUCCGAUACUCCCGGGCUGGAGGCAGGUGGGGGAGAUCGGAAUUCCUGGUGUAGCGGUGAAAUGCGCAGAUAUCAGGAGGAACACCGGUGGCGAAGGCGGAUCUCUGGGCCUUGCCUGACGCUGAGGCGCGAAAGCUAGGGGAGCGAACAGG
rnacentral:rRNA from 1 species